GCGGCUCUUAAGAUAUGUUGCUCAUAUUUUGAGGCAAGUAAUGGAAUUAUCCAUUUCCUCUUUUCUGCUCUCCCCCAAGUACAUUAUGUGACCUAAUUUUCAUUGUUCAGAGUCUAGGAUGAGAGAAUCUGAUUUCAACAUUUAGGUUUUGAAUGUGAGAAAGAUUUUAUGCAGGCUUUGUCUCAGACCCUAUAUGGUUUUUUUUUAAAAAGAAAAAAAUUGAAGUGCUUGAUGUGUACUGCUUUCCGUGCUUAGUGGAGAACUCAUGUUGAGGUUGCUUUUAUAAUUUUGCAGGUAGAGUAACUGGGGAUGUUUGAGGAGCUAUGCUAUAAUUUGAAUCUUCAUUAGUAUACUUGAGAGAAACUGAACUUGUAGGAUUUGUGAAUCCUUUAGCACCACAUGAUGGUUCGUGGUUGCUAAGGUGAUUUAGAAUACAAAUGACAUUCCUUUUGUCUCGAGACUUACCUUUUGGACUAUGCCCAUACUUUAUGCAGCUGAACUAAGCAUUAGUUCCUUUCAAUUGAUGUAUUGCUUAUGUAUUCGCUCAUUUAUUUGUGCAUCCUUUCAUGGAUUUGGUUGCAGCUUUUUUGGUUCAGCUUCAUUUGUGUGCGCGGGAGCCGAUACCGAAAGAGGGUGGGAGAUUGCAUAUUGCUACUAAGAUAAGUUUAUUCUGGGUCUCAUCGCAUAGAUGGGGCGGAGGUUGCUAGAUGAACAAUGAUGGAUCAUGGAAUGCAAGUGCGCAAAGGUCUUUAGAAUUUGU
rnacentral:lncRNA from 1 species